UGGCGGGAUGCUUACACAUGCAAGUCGAACGGCAGCAUAGAGAGCUUGCUCUCUGAUGGCGAGUGGCGAACGGGUGAGUAAUAUAUCGGAACGUGCCCAGUAAUGGGGAAUAACUAGCCGAAAGGUUAGCUAAUACCGCAUACGACCUACGGGUGAAAGCAGGGGAUCUUAGGACCUUGCGUUAUUGGAGCGGCCGAUAUCUGAUUAGCUUGUUGGUGGGGUAAAAGCCUACCAAGGCAACGAUCAGUAGCUGGUCUGAGAGGACGAUCAGCCACACUGGAACUGAGACACGGUCCAGACUCCUACGGGAGGCAGCAGUGGGGAAUUUUGGACAAUGGGGGAAACCCUGAUCCAGCCAUCCCGCGUGAGUGAAGAAGGCCUUCGGGUUGUAAAGCUCUUUCGAAAGUGAAGAAAACUUAUUUCGUAAUAUGUUAUAAGUAUGACGGUGACUUUAGAAGAAGCACCGGCUAACUACGUGCCAGCAGCCGCGGUAAUACGUAGGGUGCGAGCGUUAAUCGGAAUUACUGGGCGUAAAGCGUGCGCAGGCGGUUUUGUAAGUCAGAUGUGAAAUCCCCGAGCUUAACUUGGGAACUG
rnacentral:rRNA from 1 species